UAGGGAAUCUUCGGCAAUGGACGGAAGUCUGACCGAGCAACGCCGCGUGAGUGAAGAAGGUUUUCGGAUCGUAAAGCUCUGUUGUAAGAGAAGAACGAGUGUGAGAGUGGAAAGUUCACACUGUGACGGUAUCUUACCAGAAAGGGACGGCUAACUACGUGCCAGCAGCCGCGGUAAUACGUAGGUCCCGAGCGUUGUCCGGAUUUAUUAGGCGUAAAGCGAGCGCAGGCGGUUAGAUAAGUCUGAAGUUAAAGGCUGUGGCUUAACCAUAGUACGCUUUGGAAACUGUUUAACUUGAGUGCAAGAGGGGAGAGUGGAAUUCCAUGUGUAGCGGUGAAAUGCGUAGAUAUAUGGAGGAACACCGGUGGCGAAAGCGGCUCUCUGGCUUGUAACUGACGCUGAGGCUUGAAAGCGUGGGGAGCAAACAGGAUUAGAUACCCUGGUAGUCCACGCCGUAAACGAUGAGUGCUAGGUGUUAGACCCUUUCCGGGGUUUAGUGCCGCAGCUAACGCAUUAAGCACUCCGCCUGGGGAGUNCGACCGCAAGGUUG
rnacentral:rRNA from 1 species